AUAAUUAAUAAGAAAAUAAAGAGUGUGUACGUAUACUAAAAGACCCAUGUUGAAUAUAAAAUAUAUAAAAGUCGUGAUAGUUUAAGCUUUUAGAGCAUAACAAUUAUUUUACAUAAUUUAAUAGAGUAUCAAAACACGAGGUCUUGUCUACCCGACUCAAUAGCGUUAUUUGAUUUUCUCUCAUUAAAUUAAGCGAAUGUUCCGGUUUUAUUAAAAAGUUUCGAGCUCAGACGUGAGCGGGAGUCCUGAGAUCGAGUCUCGAGUCCCGUCAGACUCAAUAAUGUUAUUUAAUUUUCUCUCAUUAAAUUAAGCCAAUGUCUUUGGUUUAUUAAAAAAGUUCAAGCCCAUAUGUAAGAGAGAGUCCUUAUUUCAAAUCCCGCUGGCUCACUAGCGUUAUUUUAUUUCCUCUCAUUAAAUUAAGCCCAUGUUUUGAGUUUAUUAAAAGAUUUCAGAGUCCAGACAUGAGGAGUGUUUAAUUUUCUCUCAUUAAGUUAAGCCCAGUGUUUAAUUUCCUCUCAUUAAAUUAAGCUCAUGUCUUGGGUUUAUUAAAAUAUUUCGAGCCUAGAUAUGAGAGAGUGUUGAAUAUAAAAUAUACAAACAGUUAUUCAACGAUAGCUUACUCAUUUAGAGUAUAACAAUUAUUUCAUAUAAUUUAACAAUACAACCUUAAUAGGCCUCAAUUGUUCUG
rnacentral:lncRNA from 1 species